rnacentral:rRNA from 1 species
CCUACGGGAGGCAGCAGUGGGGAAUAUUGGACAAUGGGGGCAACCCUGAUCCAGCCAUGCCGCGUGUGUGAAGAAGGCCCUCGGGUUGUAAAGCACUUUCAGUGAGGAAGAACGCCUGGUGGUUAAUACCCAUCAGGAAAGACAUCACUCACAGAAGAAGCACCGGCUAACUCCGUGCCAGCAGCCGCGGUAAUACGGAGGGUGCGAGCGUUAAUCGGAAUUACUGGGCGUAAAGCGCGCGUAGGUGGCUUGAUAAGCCGGUUGUGAAAGCCCCGGGCUCAACCUGGGAACGGCAUCCGGAACUGUCAAGCUAGAGUGCAGGAGAGGAAGGUAGACUUCCCGGUGUAGCGGUGAAAUGCGUAGAGAUCGGGAGGAAUACCAGUGGCGAAGGCGGCCUUCUGGACUGACACUGACACUGAGGUGCGAAAGCGUGGGUAGCAAACAGGAUUAGAUACCCUAGUAGUC